rnacentral:lncRNA from 1 species
GUGGGCAUGGGAGAGGGUUUUCAUCAGCUAAUAUAAGCUUGUUCAGCUUAUAUUAUAUAUAUAUAAUAUUAUAUAUAUAUAUANNNNNNNNNNNNNNNNNNNNNNNNNNNNNNNNNNNNNNNNNNNNNNNNNNNNNNNNNNNNNNNNNNNNNNNNNNNNNNNNNNNNNNNNNNNNNNNNNNNNUUCAUACACACAUAUACACACGUAUGUACAGAAAAUAAAUUCUUCACGGAAAAAAAACAAUAAUAAGAACAACAUAACUUAAUUAUAAGAAAACAAAAAACAAAAACAAAACAAAGACAAACAUGUAAAUUAUUGACUUCCCUCCACCUCAGUUUUGGGUUAUGUAAUACAUUUCCCCCCAGUUUUUCUUUAAAACUUUUGUAUGUCGAAGGGUUAUAUUAAGCCUACAGUGAUCUUUGGAUUUUUAAAAUCUACUUCAAUAUAGAUUAUGAAUUUAUUCCAUUCUUUAAUAAACUUUGUUUCUUUCUGGUCUCUAAUUUUUUGUGUUAAUUUUGCCAAUUCUGAAUAUUCAAAUAAUUUACUUUGCCAAUCUCUUACUGUUGGGAUAUUGAUUGAUUUCCAAUUUUGGGCGAUUAAAAUUCUAGCAGCUGUUGUUGCGUACUGGAAUAAGGUCUGGUCCUCUUUCUUAAUUUCAUUGCCAAUCAUUCCCAGAAGAAAAUUUUCAGGUUUUUUAACAAAAGUAUAUUUAAACAUUUUUUUAGUUCAUUAUAAAUGAGCUCCCAGAAGUUCUUGAUUUUUUCACAAGUCCACCACAUGUGGUAAAAACUACCUUCCUUGUUUUUACACCUCCAGCACAUUUUAUCUCCAUUCUUAUAGAUUUUUCCUAAUUUUACAGGGGUGAUGUACCAUCUGUACAUCAUUUUUUCCAUGUUUUCUCUUAAGGCAACACAAGCAGUGAACUUCAUAUCUUUAUUCCAGAGCUUAAUCCAACUAUCGUAUUCCAAAUUAUAUCCCAGAUCUAUCGCCCAUUUCACCAUAACUUCUUUUAUUUCCUCGUCCUUAGUAUCCCAUUCUAACAGUUGAUUAUACAUUUUUGAUAAGAGUUUUGAAUUUCCUUCCAGUAUUUCUAUCUGGAAUCUUGAUUUUUUCCCGUUUAUCCCGAUCUUUUUAUCUUCUGUCCACAGUGCAUUAAUUUGAUGGAAUUGUAACCAACUCGUUAAUUUAUCUCCUAGUUCUUCAUACGUUUUGAUCUGCCAACCUUUUUCUGUUCUCACCAAUAAAUCUUCAUAUGUCCAUCUCUUACCUUCUAUGUUUGUUUUUUUAAUUGUUAAGAUAUCUAUUGGUGAUAACCACCAGGGAGUUUUCCUUUCAAGAAGAUUUUUAUUUCUUUCCCAAACCUCUAGCAGAGGUCCUCUAAUGAUGUGACUGGAGAAUUCUUUAUGUACUUUUGCUUUAUUAUGCCACAAAUAUGCGUGCCAACCGAAUCUGGUGUUAAAGCCUUCUAAAUCUAGUAGGUCAGUGUUUUUUAUUACAAUCCAUUCUUUAAUCCAACAGAGGCAUGAGGCCUCGUAAUACAAUUUCAAAUUCGGUACCGCAAAACCUCCUCUUUCUCUUCUAUCUGUAAGCAAUUUAAAUUUAAUUCUAGGCCUUUUUCCCUGCCAAAUGAAUUUAGAUAAAAUUUUCUGCCAAUCUUUAAAUACUUUGUUUCCUCUUAUCACCGGAAUAUUUUGAAAUAGAAAUAACAACUUUGGAAGUAUAUUCAUCUUAAUUGCGGCCAUUCUUCCUGACCAUGAUAAUUUUAUUCUGUUCCAUAUAUCUAAAUCUUUUUAAUUUCUUUCCAGGUUGUUUCAUAAUUGUCCGUCAUUAAAUUUAUGUUCUUCAUAGUUAGCCAAAUUCCCAGGUAUUUUACUUUUUUUACCGCUUUAAUUCCAAUUUUAGCCUCCAGCUGGUUUUUCAUAACUUCUUCCAUGUUCUUCGUCAUCAUUUUAGUUUUUGAUUUGUUUAACUUAAAACCUGAUAACUUUCCAAAUUCUUCUAACAAUUCUAUUACCUUAUGGACACUUUUUUGUGGAUCUUCUAAUGAUACCAUCAGAUCAUCAGCGUAUGCUUUCAGUUUGUAUUCUUUUUUUCCAAUUUUAAUUCCACGUAUUUCUGGAGUUGUUCUUAUCUUAUUUGCUAUAAUUUCUAGUAUCAUUAUAAAUAAAAGAGGUGAUAGAGGGCACCCCUGUCUCGUACCCUUUGAAAUUUCGAAAUAAUCAGUUAAAUCAUUAUUAAUAAUCAAUUUUGCUUUCUGGCUUGAGUAAAUAGCUUUUAUCCCUUCCAGGAAGGCGCCCUCUAUCCCUACUGUUUCUAGAUAUCUUACAAGGAAUUGCCAAGAUACAUUAUCGAAGGCCUUUUCAGCGUCAAUAAAAAUUAGUGCCGCAGGUAUUUCAUUCUUGGCCUCUAGAUAUUCAAUGAUGUUAAUUUUAUGUCUUAUGUUGUCUUUUAAUUGUCUAUUGGGUAAGAAUCCGACUUGAUCUGUAUGGAUGAGGUUUCUUAAACAUUUCUUAAGACGGUUGGCCAUUACUUCCGCAAAUAAUUUAUAAUCAUUAUUUAAUAAUGAUAUUGGUCUGUAGUUUUUCAUAUCUAAUUUAUCUGUGUCUGGCUUAGAUAUUAAUGUAAUAUAGGCUUCCUUCCAAGAGUCUGGUGUCUUUCCGCCGCUUAAGAUGUUAUUCGCUACUUCGCACAGCACCGGGGCUAAAUAUUCCUCUAGAACUUUGUAGUAUUUAGCUGAAAGGCCAUCAGGCCCUGGAGCCUUUCCUAAUUUCAUUCUUUUUAUCGCAUCCUGGAUUUCUUCAAUUUUUAUAGGAUUAUUUAAUUGUGUUAUUUCUUCUUCUGUUAAUCCUUUUAGUCUAUUUUCUUCUAAAUAUUUCUUUAUUUCUGUGCUGUCUUCUUUUUCUCUUUUGUAUAAUUUUCCAUAAAAUUUGAUGAAAUUUUCCUUUAUUUUCUUAGGUUCUUCCACAAUUUGCUCUUCUGUCCUUAAUUUGUUGAUCAUAUUUUGUUUUUUGUUUUUCAUAAUUGCCACGCUAGUAAUUUUCCGGUUUUAUUUGCUGAUUCAAAGAAUUUUUGCUUCCAUAUCUUGAUUCUCCAUUCUACUUCUUGGCCUACUAAAUUUGAGUAUUGCGUUUGUAAUAUUCUAUAAGUUUGUUUAACCUGCUCCUCAGUUGGGUUUAUUGCUAGUUUUCUUUCGCAAUCUCUUAAUUGAUUGAGUAUUUCUUCUUUUUUUUGCUCUCUUAACUUUUUCCUAUGGCUGUUCUGAUUAAUUAAAAAUCCUCUUAACACUGCCUUACUGGCAUCCCAAACUAUCUCUAUAUUAGUCUCUUUAUUUAAAUUCAUCUCAAAAUAUUCUUUUAAUGUUCUUUUGGCCUUCUCAAUUAUUUCCUCAUUUUCAAAUAGAUAAUCGUUCAUUCUCCAUCUGUAUGUUCCUUGUAAUCUGCUUUUUAUCUCCAACGUUACUGAGCUAUGAUCUGAAAGAGUUCUGGGCUGGAUUUCACAUUUAAGUGCUCUUAAUGUUAAUUCUCUUGAAACCCAUAUUUGAUCCAACCUGGCCCAACUUUGGUGUGGUUCUGACAGGUGUGUAUAUUGUUUCGUUGUUGGAUUUUUAUGUCUCCAGAUGUCUAUCAGAUCUAGAUUUUCCACCAGAUUAUUAAAUGUUCUUGGUAAUUUCCCCUGCUUAAGUUUUCUUCUUUUCACGCUUCUGUCUAAUUCAGGUGUUGGCAUGGCAUUCAAAUCUCCAAGUAAAAUCAUCUAAUGAUCCUCCAAUUCUGUUAACAUUUGUUCCAAUUUUUUAAAGAAUUCAGCUUUAUUCAUAUUUGGUGCAUAGACAUUUAUAACGUUAAUCUUUUCUCCCUGAUGGCUGAUUUGUACUCCUAAGAUCCUUCCUUCAUCGUCCUUACAUAUUAAUAUUGGGUCCCAUUUCUCCUUCACGUAUCUCACAACUCCUCUUUUUGUAUUAAUGUCUGAAUUAACAAACUCUACCCCCAACCUUUUAUUUGCUAGUAUGUUUGUGUUUUUUUGCCACGUGUGUUUCCUGAAAACAGAUCACAUCAAAAUUUUUAUUCUUUAACACCUUUUGAAUUUUGUUCCUUUUAUAUUUUUCGUUCAAACCAUUAACAUUCCAGGACAGAACCUUUAAUGGCAUUAUAUUGUUUGACUUUAAUUUAUAUUCUAGUCUACCUCUUGUCCGUUAACUCUUCUUCUUCCUCCUCCUCUUCUUCUCCACCUACUGCUCCUUCCUCUUCCACUUCCUCUUCUCUCUCUUUUGCUUCUCUGUGUUUUUUACCUUCUUUUCCUUCCUCCUUUCUGUAUAUCUCCCUCCUCCUCCGUACCUUUCUUCCCCUUUUCCAAGCUCCUUCUCAUAUCUUCUCAAAAAAAUUUCUGCUUCUUGUGUAUCUGUCAAUCUGAAUCUUUUAUCUUUAUAAUAGAAGGUAAUUCCUUCGGGGAACUCCCAUCUAUAUUGUAUAUUGUUUCUCUGUAAGACACUUACUAUUUGUCGGUAUCCUUGUCUUUUACGCAAAAGUCUAAUUGGUAUUUCUUUGUAUAGAAUAAUUGUUCUGUUUUCAAUUAUUAAUUUUUUUCAGUAACUUGUUCUUAAUAUCAUAUUUUUCAUCUCAAUUGAGUUGAAAAUCAUCAAACAAUCACCAGGAGAUUUUUUUAGUUUGAGCUGCUGGGGUUUCACCUUUAUUCUAAAUGCGCUUUCUACAGUACAGGCUACUUCUUCCUCUUUUAUUUCCAACCAUUUUGCUAAUUCUCUUAUCAUUUUUUCUUUUAUAUUCUCAUUGAUUUCUUCUUCUACUCCUCUGAAUUUUAAAUUGAGUUGUUUCUUACACAUUUCUGUCAUAGCUAAUCUAUCCUCAAUCUGUUCUUGUGCUUUGUUCAAAUCUCUUAUUUCCUCCUUCAUUUUUUCUGUCUCUCUUUUAUGUUCCUUCAUUUCUUUUUCAAUUUUCUUGUUUGAUUCCUCUAUUACUUUUGAUCUAACUGAUAGGUCUUGUAUUUUAUUAGUGAGUUCUCCCACAGCUCCUUCAAUUUUUUAAUCUAUCUGUUCCUGCACCUCUCCUAAUUUACUUUCCAUAUGCAAUUCACUCUGUUUAAAUUCCUCUUUGAUCUUUAACCACAAUGUGUCUAGGUCUUUAAUUUCCUCCUGUCGUGAGGCCUUUCUGUCUCCAGGAGUCCCUCCUACCUUUUUCCCGUUUUUCCCUGACAUUUUGUGAUUAUUUACACAAUAGUCUGUGUUAAUUUUCUGUCUCUCCCCUGAGGGGCACACAAUCUUUUUUGUUUUGUUUUGUUAUUCUUAUUUUUCUAUGUCUUAACCACUCUCCUUUAAUUUACCUUAUUACACCCAUGUGAUUUUGUUUUUCUUAUUUUAUAUUCUUACAAUUUCUUUUAUAUCACUUUCUAUUGUAUUUCCUUUUUUUCAGACAGAGUAUUACCUUUGAAGUCAAUUAAUUCAACUGUAUCCUAAAAUACAACCAUAAUAUCUCCGAGUACCACCAAUGUCUGCUAGAAAAUAUGUACUAUUAUAAUAUACAGUUACAGAUCCAGUUGGAUAAUAAAAUGUCCAGAAAUCAAAGAAAAUAACUUCACUUAUAAUCCCAGUAUAUCUCGAUGUUGGCAAUCUUAACGUCUUGUUUAUACACCUUAGUACCUUCCUUAGGCUCUUGUUUUUCUUCAAAUGAUUCCCCCCUCCUAGGGUAUUAUUAAUAGUAUAUGACAAUAUAGUUUGUGUUUUCCCAAACCGUCCCUUAAAACCUAAACACCCUCUGAAAGUUUGGUAAAUUUCUCCAAGACUCAAAUAAGUAUUACUUAUAUAUGAAUUAUUCCUGCUAAAGUGGUUUUCUAAAGUCCACGUAGACUCUGAUGGGAGAGCAGUAGUUCUUUCGUCUUCUUUUUUAAAUUAAAUAAUUAAAUAAUUAAUUAAUAUUCAGUUCUGAUUUCUUUUAAUUUCUUUAAUCUUCCACCACUUGCCGGUUUAAUCCAUCACGUGUAAAGGAUAUUCUAUAACUUAGUCCAUGUCCUAAUCCAAGGUCUAGUAAGGCUAAUAAUUCAGGCUUUAAUCCACGAUCUAAAUCAGACCUGUAAACUAAUUAGAUCCCAAUGUCACCAAAUCACUGGUCCGGUCUCUAUCACGAAAUCACUGUUUCAGUCUCUGUCCGUGAAGAAAAGGAGAUCACUGGUCCAAUCUCUAUCACCAAAUCACUGUUUCAGUCUCUAUCACAAAAAAGAAGAAAUCACUGGUCCAGUCUCUGUCACCAAAUCACUGGUCCGAAUUCUGUUCCCAUUUCCUGUUUAUAUUUUCAAGUCCAUAAAAGAUGUAAAUGUCCAAUUCAAAAUGUUGUAAAUAUCCAAUUAUAGUCUACUGGGGUGUAAAACCCCCCUGUUUUUAACACUUAAAGUUAUUUUCCAAAUUUUCCCAGGGUUUAUCGGGUGAUAUUUUCCGCAUUCUAAUUAUUUCUGGUUUUUUUAGCUCCAACGCUUGAAUGUAAAUCUUUCCCAGAGAGAAAAAAAACAACAAAAAGAAAACGGGAAAGAGGGGGUUAACUUAAGUCCAGUUUUUCAGCAGUAAGGAUCGAAAGAGAACCCAAGAUCAUUGCAGUCAAAUAUAACCUUUUUUCUUAGACAGUUCUUAUUUAAAAGAGAGGAGACGUUUCUGCCAAUCUUCCCUUAUUCUUGUCUUUACUGUAACUUUGUUGUUUUUAACGCAGCUUCCAAGCUUUCCCUGUUUUCUUUUAAAUUAAACUUCUACUAGUCGUCUCAAGCUGCUCUUUCAAUCAGCUCUGUGGUUAUUACGUUUCUAAUUAUCUAAUUAGUGAGAGAACAACAAAGUCUCUGGAUAGUCCUUAAUCUGUUGCUUUGUUUUACAAAUUCAAAAGUCUAUUUGCCACGACAAAAGCUGCCGUGGGUACUCACGCAGUCAGGCUAGAGGCUGCUUCCUUCUUUAUCCCUGCGACUUUGUAUCCUGCGCCAUUUUAACUCCUCUACUGGGAUGGAUUCCUUACUUUAAUCCUUCAACAUCCAGCGUUCGCUUAGUGUGUUCUUCGAAUUUUUAAAGUUAAAAUGUUCCACUCACACUAAGGGUCCAUUCUUAAGUUUAUGGAGAUUUGCCGCUUUCUCUAGCGAGAGCCAGAGGCAUCGCAACACAGGGUCGGUACCUUCCUCUUGCACUUGCAAUCCCGUCGUCUUCGAGCUCUUCAAGAAAACCCCCCCGAAAAAACGGCCGGACCGCUUCCGCGCUGCCGGUUAGCCAUCCCUCAAGGGUAUCCCCCUUGAGAUUUUUGGGGGGUGCAGUGCCUUUGCAACUUCCCCAAGCCCCUGUGUUGUUCGGAAAACCCCGACGAGGCUUUCCGCGCUCCCUUUCUGUCUCGCGGCUUCAGGUUACAGACACUUCAGGUUACAGACUCCGCUAACCCAGAAGUAGUACCUCGGGUUAAGAACUUUGCUUCAGGAUGAGAACAGAAAUCGUGCUCCGGUGGCGCGGCAGCAGCAGGAGGCCCCAUUAGCUAAAGUGGUGCUUCAGGUUAAGAACAGUUUCAGGUUAAGAACGGACCUCCGGAAUGAAUUAAGUACUUAACCUGAGGUACCGCUGUACAUUAUUAUUAAUACUAAUACUAUGUUGUUGUUGUUGCCACCCAUUCUGCAUCUGAGAAGUAUGCCCUAGCAAAUCUUACUCCCUUUACAAAUAAAUACAUAAGUAAUACAUAAAUAAAUACAAUAAAUAAGUCUUUAAAUUGCCACAGAUCUCCUCUUUUUUUUAUAUACAACUUAGAUAAAAAGAAGCAACGGCAAACUGCUUAAAAGUAUGGGCAUGGGAGAAGGUUUUCGUCAGCUAAUAUAAGCUUGUUCAGAGGGGCAGAUUGAGACAAAAUACUACACUUUAAUCCUGUGUGGACGUGGUCUAUAAAUGUCUGUAAAUUCUGGAGUGCUUGCAUUGUUACAUCAUAAGCAGCAGGUCAUCCUUAGAUUAGAUGUUUCAGGGGAAUCGGUAGUGAAAGUACAGGUUUGCCACUGAUCAUACAAACAAAUACAAAUGCUGUGGGAUGGGGGGGAUUAAGGGCAAUUGGGGCUAGGGAGGAAUACAGAGGUUUGGGGGCAUGUGAGGAAGGGGGGAGGAUGCGUAGGGGAGGUGGGGAGACAGGGGGCUGUUUGAUUUUGUUGUAAAAUUCCAAAAAUAAAUAACAAAAAGUUGUUUGCAUUGCUAAUUAAAAGUAAAAGUUGUGUUUCUGCUGUCUGGAUGUCAUUUGCUAAAACCAAAUGUGUUUUAAAAAUUGAAUGUAUACAGCAGAAAUACGCACCACUGUGUUCAAUGGUUCUUACUCUCAGCCAUGCACAGAACUGCAGUCAUGUGCCAUAAAUUUAAUCAUGAGAUUUUAUUAGUAAUUUGUUUUAAAUGUCUGUUUUUUUAAGGUGGAGGGAUUUUUUUAAACAAAUGUGUUAGAAAAGCAAGAUAUUUAAAUCCCGGUGGCCUGACUCUGGAUUUCAUUAUGGAGCUGUCAUUGAUGCACUACACAGUUAGGAAUAGCCCUCAAAGGUUGCUGGGAACUGCAAAUGAGGAGGAGAGCACUGUAGAGCUCAGUUGCUCCUUGAGGGCUUCUCAUAGGCAUCUGGUUGGCCACAGUGAGAACAGGAUAUUGGAUAAAAUAAUAAAAUUGCUGUACUUGCAUAAUCAUUACAAGUAACAGUAUUCAGUUUGUCAUAGUAUUAUUUUUUUAGCUCUGGGAGGGUGAAGUACAUCUAUAAAGCCAUUCCAUUUCACAAACAGGUAAAAAAAUACAUACAUCUGGAAGUGCUCUUAUUCUCCAGAAGAAGUGGAGCAGUAGUUUUCUAUGCUAGUGAAACCAGCACACUUCUCCAAACUUUGCUUUGGAGAAGGCCUUCAGGAGUUUCAAAGCGGACAGAGGACAUGCAUUUCAAGACCCGAAUUCUUCUCCAGUUUGAAUUAAAAUCAGAGACAAGUUCCUUCCUCUUGCCCCUUCCAUUCAGUGCAAUGGAGAAACAUUACUUCAUUACUUUGAAUAGGAGCAUAAUUGAGAGGGUGGAGGAACCCAAAACAAAAAAUCUGAAUACAGAAGAGGAAGACCAUUCUUCCUUGGUUAACUGCAUAGGUGGACUUCCCCUCACCAAUUUUGCCCAUGCUGCCUCUGAAUUUGUACUAGGGAAACAUUUUUCUUUUACACUGAAUGGGAGCAGGGUUGAAGGAAGGCUGAGAGGAAAGAAAUCUUGGCAAUUCUUUGAAAGUUUUCCCUCUCCAACUCCUCCUGGAGAUUUUCAGUCCUCCCUUGGAGAAUAUUCAGUGAAAUGACCUUCCUUAUUUUACCACCCACAAAGCAAGUGGAGAAUUUGAGGGAUGGCCAUUUUCACUCUGUUCUAGAUUUUUAAAGACAGUGAGAGCCUCAGUUGGGCUCAGGAGAAAAAAGAAAUAGUUUUCUCAUCCAAGUUCAUCCAAGGUGGGCUUGGGAGAUCUUGCCCAUCUAUGCUCUGUGCAUAGGCAAAAAGUGAAAGUUAUUUUAGACAGUUUGUUCUAGGACCGGAAGACCCCAAACUGAGUUUAUUGGAAUAUCUCUCCAAAUACAAUUGUCUGCCUAUGCUUUAUUUUUAGCAUUGACACAUCUGCCAAUCUCAGUGUACAGAUUUAUAGAAGAGUUACCAAAAAAGCUUAUGUUGUCACUCAGUUAAACAACUUUGCUGUAUCUUGGGUAGGACAUGCAAGGGAAUCAAAAGGUCAUCUCAGACAGGGGCCUUGGCCCACCCAGCUUCUACAGCCUGCAGCACUUCAACCCACCAAGUCAAGGUUGGAGAAUUACUGCUGGACUGCAGCUCACAUUAUCUCCAGCCACCUAGCCAAUGAAAUGGGAUUAUGGGAGUUGUCCCAACUGAGCCCUCAUGGCAAGAAUGGGGAACCUGCAGCCCUUCAGAUAUUCCUGGACUCCAACCCCCAUCUGCCCCAGCCAACCUCAGGGGUGAUGGGCGCAAGAGUCCAACCACCAUUGAGGGUCACCAGUUCCUCAGUGGUUGACUCAGUUUCUUCCACUCUGAUUGGCUUCAUUUAGCACAAAGAGUAACAAGACUUCUCACCCAUCACUCUCAUACAGUGGAGGAGGAAGGGGGGUGCAGGGGUGCAGUUUGCCUCAGGUGUCAUCACUGAGGGGGUGUGUGUGACAAAAUGAGUUUUUAAAAAAUUGUGCUCACGAAACUUUUUAGGAGUGAGGUGGUGGCUUAGGCACCUGCAGGUUCCGCGCUGCCUGAAAUAGCAGCGUGGGACUUGCGUCUGCCUACUGCCUCUCCCUCAGACGCCCUACAGCUGAGGGGGAGGCAGCGAAGGGGCUCCAAGUGUUGGAGAGGCUUGCCCUGCCCACAUGGGUGACUCGACACGCCCCCUAGCUACUCCGCUGCACACAUAUCCACAUGAAGAGGCAAGAAAGAUAAGAAUGGGUUUUUUGUGUGUGACUAAUUUCUAAAUCCUGCUAUUUGCCCAUUGCAAUAAUGUCUUCAAUGUGGAAAUCGUUAUACAAAAUAUGGAUUAAAUAUAAAGGAAUAUUGGAGCCCAAGAUACCCCUGUGCUCGUCACCCACAGAAGCCAUGGCAGUUAAAAAAUAAAUAUGAAAGGGGAAUGGCCAACAUCAGUCUUAGAAGUAGAUAAGGAUAAGCCAACAUUGAAGCAAUAUGCGGAAAUUAAAAACUCGCUAACAGACUGGCUACAAUAUUUCCAGCUACACCAAAGACUAGCUAUAGAUUCAAAACAAGAAAUUGCAAAGGAAACAUCUAGAUUUGAAAGAGAAUCAACACUUAACAGAAAGAAAAUUAUUUCACAAGUGUAUGAUUAUCUUCUGGAAUGGGAAACAAAAGAAGAACAGUCAUGGUUAAAUGGGCACAGGACUUCGGGCAUAAUAUACUUAUGGAACAAUAGGUGAGAUUAUGGACGGCAGACAUUGAAUUCACAGCAUGCUAUAAUCUCAGGGAAUAUACCAUAAAAUGGUAUAUAGAUGGCAUUUUACCCGCAAAAACUUGCUAAAAUGUAUAAAGGAAAAACAUCAACCUGUUGGAGAUGUAAAAAAGAGGAAGGAUCAUACUCUCAUAUGUGGUGGACCUGUGUAGCCAUUGGCAAAUACUGGAAUGAUAUUUAUAAUGAGUUUAAGAAACUAUUUAAAAUUACUUAAAAAAAAAAAAAAACCCAGAGAUUUUCCUACUUUAUAUAUUACCAUCAGAAAUUUAAAAAGAUAUAAGAUCAUUGUUUAUGUAUGGUAUAGCAGCAGCUAGGACCCUUAUAGC